rnacentral:rRNA from 1 species
UACGGAGGGUGCGAGCGUUGUCCGGAAUCACUGGGCGUAAAGGGCGCGUAGGCGGCGCGAGCAGUCGGCGGUGAAAGCCCGGAGCUCAACUCCGGGUCGGCCGUCGAUACUCUCGUGCUCGAGCACUGUAGAGGCAGAUGGAAUUCCGGGUGUAGCGGUGGAAUGCGUAGAGAUCCGGAAGAACACCCGUGGCUAAGGCGGCUCUCUAGUACGGUACUGACGCUGAGACGCGAAAGCGUGGGGAGCGAACAGG